GAUCUGGUGAUUUUGAAUGAUGAGCAUGAAUCUUUUAUUGAAGAUUCCCAAAUUAUAUUAUCUUCUCAUACAAUGCCCAGUUCCAGUGAUCUGCUGAUUUUGAAUAAUGAGCACAAAUCUUUUACUGAAGAUUCCCAAAUUAUAUUAUCUUCUCAUACAAUGCCCAGUUCCAGUGAUCUGCUGAUUUUGAAUGAUGAGGUAUUUAAUUUAAAUAAAACUAUACACUCUUUAAUAAUAAUUAGCAAACACACAAAGUUAUUGAAAAUUCUCCCCAAUUAUAUCUUUUUUUCAUCCAAUUAUCAAUCCCAAUGCAAGCCAAAAUAUUUCAAACAUUAAAGGCCCAAAUAUUAUUCAAUUAUAUAAAAAAAAGGAGCCUAAUGACCCUUUUCAUUUCAUAUUCUUUAGAAUGACAAAUAUCUUGAUUAAUUUCAUAAUUUCCAUAGGCCCAUGUCAGCCAUGUUCAAAUAUAUUUCAAUAUCCUGUUACUCACAAAAGGAGCAUGAAUAUAUCCUAUUAUAAAAAGGUUAAUAUUGAUGGUUCCCUCAAACCAAGAAAUUGGUUAUCCUAUAGCACCACUUUAGACAAAGUCUUUUGUCUUUAUUGUCUUAUGUUUGGUGGCCCUAAAUCCAAUACUUUUUGGACUCAACUUGGAGUAAAUAAUUGGAAAAAUUUUAAGCGUGACUUAGAGAGACAUGAGUCAUCUUCUAUUCAUAAGGAUUGUGAAUACACCAACAUGACUCUUGGCUUGCAAAUAAGCGUAUUCAAGAUCAUUUUCUAUCAAAUAGGCUUGAUAUAAUAAUGGAAAAUCGUAAUAUAGUUCAUAAUAUUAUUGAUGCCAUUAUAUACCUUAUAAAAUGUAACAUAGCCUUUUGGGGCACUAAUUCGAAUGAAGGUAAUUUUAUGUGCCUCAUAAAAUUAAUGGCAAAAACGGUUCCAACUUUACGGGCAUACAUUGAUAACAACGAAAAAUUGAGGAGAAAAAAAUCAGAUAAAAUUUCAAGACCUUAUAUAAAUUUAUUGUCAUAUGGCCAUGUGAAAAAAAUUAUUGAAGUCAUUAAGAUAAAAAUAAUAAAA